ensembl:lncRNA
CUACAACAGACCUGCAGUAUCUACAUGGCUGGCAGGUGAGCCUGUUAGACAGAAGGGAGUUUAUUACAACUGCUGGUGGUGUGGUAGGCUGCUUCUACAUGGCACCCCAUGAUCCCUGCCUCCUGGAAUUGACACCCUUGUGCAAUCCCCUCCUUUAGUGACUUGCUUCUAAAGAAGAGAAUACAGCAGAAGUGAUGUCGCUUCCAAGAGCAGUCUAGGAAACACUGUGGUGUUCCCUCUCAAUCUCUCGCCGGCGAUCUCUGCUGAAUCCAGCGGCUGCAGUGAGCUGCCCUGGAGAUGAGCAAGGAGUUAAGGACUUGAGGACAGCCUGAAGACUGUAGUCAGUGCACCAUUCCAGAGGGAACCGUGUGUAUGAGCUUGGGAGUAGAUCCUGUUCCAGUUCAGCCUUGAGGUGACUGUGACCUGUGGUCACACCUGAGUCACCUGAGUCAGAGGAACCAGCCGAGCUGCCCUGGAUCCCUCACCCAAACCCUAUGUGUUUUGUGGCAGCUGAUGCCAAGAGUCCAAGUAAGAGAGGACAUGACUCUGUGCGACCCCAUAGACGGCAGCCCACCAGGCUCCUCCGUCCCUGGGAUUCUCCAGCAGGUCUUUGGAACUUCUCUUGUGUAAGGGCUUCCCUGAUGGCUCAGCAGAAAAGAACCCACCUGCCAAUGCGGGAGAUGCAAGAGACGCAGGUUCAGUUCCUGGGUGGGCAAGAUCUCCUGGAGAAGGAAACGGCACUAAGCAACAACCUUUGUGUAACUGUAACUUCAUGUGCUUAGUCACUCAGUUAUGGCUGACUCUGUGCGACCCCAUGGACUAUGGCCUGCCAGUCUCCUUUGUCCACGGAAUUUUCCAGGCAAGAAUACUGGAAAGGGUUGUCUUCUCCAAACUGUAACUUCAUACCACUGGACAAUGUCUCCCCUCACCUCCUUCCCCCCAUCCUCUGGUGACCAUCAUUCUACUGUCAGUUCUAUACUUUUGCCUAUUUUAUAUUCUUUAAAGAUUAAGUGUCUGUAAACACAAAGAUACUUUAAAUUUGGGGAAAAUAAGGUAUUUGAUAGCAUUUCAUUUUGAAAAACAUAAGAUAAUUGCAUUUUUGUGUCUAUCUGAAGAAUGGGUAAAUAUUUUCAUGUUUGAAUUUAUAUUUUGCUUGAGAUAUAUAUAGUUUAAGCCUUGAUAUAUGUAUCACAAAAUCCUUACUGUUUUUGUUGUAGAUACUCAAGAUUUUCAUUUCUUCUGCCUUUUCAUGGCCAUUGAACAAACCUAAUAGAUACAUUCAUAUUCUUGGAGGGUAUAAUUAAGAAAAAUAUCUGGUGAAAGUUAUAUCCAUUAAGUUGUUUGAUUUUUGUAUGGUAGAACUUCAUUGAAAAUACUGUUUAGAUUAAGUUCUUUAAGUGUCACUAGAUUAUAUCACUAAUAUUAAUAGACUGCUUAAAUUUUAUGGACUGGUACUUAAAUGGCAAUACAGAUUAGGUAUGAUUCAGGUACUUGUUAAAGAAUAUAAAAGGUGAUG